UGGGGAAUAUUGCGCAAUGGGCGAAAGCCUGACGCAGCGACGCCGCGUGAGGGAUGAAGGCCUUCGGGUUGUAAACCUCUUUCAGCAGGGACGAAAACAGACGGUACCUGCAGAAGAAGCACCGGCCAACUACGUGCCAGCAGCCGCGGUAAUACGUAGGGUGCAAGCGUUGUCCGGAAUUAUUGGGCGUAAAGAGCUCGUAGGCGGUCUGUCGCGUCGGCUGUGAAAUCUUGGGGCUCAACCCCAAGCCUGCAGUCGAUACGGGCAGACUAGAGUGCGGUAGGGGAGACUGGAAUUCCUGGUGUAGCGGUGAAAUGCGCAGAUAUCAGGAGGAACACCGGUGGCGAAGGCGGGUCUCUGGGCCGUAACUGACGCUGAGGAGCGAAAGCGUGGGGAGCAAACA
rnacentral:rRNA from 1 species